ensembl:lncRNA
GGCUUUUUUAUAGCCAGGGGGCCAGCAGGGGAAGCAGUGGUCACAAGCAGAGGUUGGAAGCUGGCUUAUUAAGUAAAUCUCAGGCUGUGACUGGUUUUAAUUUAUUUCUUGUUUUAUGUGCAAGGGACAGGGCCCUGCAGGCCUGGCUAGUAUCAAAGCCUGGGGUUUGUAGGUUUUUAAUCAAGGUCCACUUUGGGGGGCUCUACUUUCAGUGGUUGGGGAUGUGUGGGGAUUUUUUCAUGGCGUUUUUUUCCUGCUGCAGUGUCUGGAUUUCUUUAGUUAAACUUUUCCAUUCUUCAAACCUGAGCCAAGAUGAAAGGGAAGAAGGAAAUCUUCUGCAUGGCUGCAUCUCAAAAAGCAGGCUGCAGGUGCAGAGUUGAUCCACCUCCCAUGCAUUCAGCAGUAAUGCAGAGAACCUGGGACAGGCAUUCAGCUUCGGCAGUUAAGGAAGAGAAGAGGGGAACAGCUUGGCACAGUCAGAGCUCUUAAAUACUAUCAGC